AAUUUAAAGAAAGGGUUUCCUUGAAUCAAAUUUAUUUCUUUAAAUCAAAGAAAAGAAUAAAAUUCUAUUUUAAUUCAAAGAAUCGUUUCUUAGAUAUAGAUUUGAAGCAACAAUCUCAAAUACAAGAAAAUUCAAUUAAGCCGUUUUUCUUUGAAUCAAAGACAUAUUUUUUUGCAAGAAAGACGAUUGUUUCUUUAAAUUGAACAAACAUCUUUAAAUCAAAGAAGGCCCUCUUUGGAUCAAAACAGGCUGCUUUGAUUCAAAAACAUUUCUUUACAUCUAUAUUGAGUAAAGAAUUUUUUUGUAUUAAAGUAGCCUUCGUUGACUCAAAGAAACGAUUCUCUGGGUGAAGCAUCGCAAACUCACCAAUAUGAGAGCGGGUGUUAUAGGAAGUCAUGAGCAAAGGCGUUUUUGCUUGAGAAAACACUUUUAGCAUAAGGUGAUCUACUAGGCCUUAAGCGUUGUCUCAUGAGACGUUUUUUGUGGGGGAGACUCCUUAACACGCAUGGAUGGUACCCAAGAGUUUAGAAAGUCUCUUGAUGUAAAACUAUUACUGUGUUGAGAGAAUUGUGUUCACAUACAUUCAGAGGGAAACAAGAGAGAUCAACCAGAAAUCUCAGGUAAUAAUUUGCCUCCUUGGGUUAUGGCUAGUAAUGAAAUUAAUGUACACAUCUGAUUUUAUAAUUCAACUUUCAUUCUGAGUUUGCAUUUGCUAUGGUGGUUGUGAAAAGUGGUUCUAGGACCAAUAACUUUCUCCUUCAUGAAACCUGUGAAUGUGAAGAAAACACCUCAGCAGUUGUUUCACGUUGAUGCAUUUUGACCUUUAAUUCAUUUUUCCUUAAAAUAAUUAUUUUAGAGUUUUAUGUUUAAGCUGUUAGCACGUGAAUUCUCUCUGACUGUGCUAUGGUAUCAAUCAAGAAGUCCACACUUCCUGGCAGUUUAUCGGUGAAAGAAGGGACUUCCCUCCUUUGCACAACCUGUCGUCAGGAAUUUAGCUCUACCUCAUUGUAAGUCAUUAUCAGACAACCUACUCUGAAUGCUAUAGUAGUUUAGUACAUCAAGGUAUUGCAACCCCACAUAUCCCAUGAGAAACAGUUCCAAUGCAGGAGAGAAUAUGUCAUUGUCAUUGAAGUGUCACUAAAGACAGGCAGUUCUGAGACAUUACUCAGCAGUCUGACUUGUAUCAAGACAAAAAUUUAUGGAAUUAACAAUAAUUUGAUUUUACCUCAUACAACAAUAUGUUCGGCAACAUUUCACUUGAACUUACUUUGUGUUUUUUAGGUUGUAACUAAAUGUUCCCCAAAUCUUGUUGUGAAUUGUACCAUGCUCCGCUUUAAAAAUCAAGAGAACAUUAAUUCACUUACUCUCUACAGUCUUUCUUUCGCAAAUCACCUUUACUGUUCUGAUAAGAAUAUCUAAGCUUUGUUUUUUUCCUCCGGAGUGGGUUGGUAUAUCAUCAAACAAAGAACCAUAGGCCAAAAUGCUACUGUUUAGGACUUCUAGACAUUAACAAUAACAACAAUUGUAUAGAGAGAAAAGAAUGUAAAUUUCGUUUAGUUGAAAAAUAUUAUAUAGAAUCAAAAUUUAAAAGGUUAAUAUGUGUAAUACAUGGGAAAGUAAUGAAUUCUGGACAAAGAAAAGUAUCUUGGUAAAACUUUGGGAUACUACUUCAGUCAGGUUUUGUAUUGAUAGGCGUUCACGGAGAUCCCAAUCAGAAGUUCACCUGGAGAUGGAUGAAAUGAGGCACAAGUAGAGAUUUUCAUGUCAUACCUUUUCUUUCAUAAAUAUUUCUCUACACUUUGGCUCUGAUGCAUCAUUUUCAACGCCCAAGAUUUAAUUCCCUUGAAUAUGGCAUCACACUGUAAUGUCAAUUAAGCCACAUGGUAAAUUUACAGAGAAAUAUCUGGAUGUUACCCUUGCUCAUUAUUACAAAGAUUCACCAAGUUAAUCCACUGAAUGUACAUACAUUAAUUUAAGUGACUGGAGAUUUUAAGCUGGAAAAAAAAACCCACUGUACUAGACUUCCAUUUCCAAUCUUCCACUCACAAAUAAUUUCCCCCUAAUGCAAAAAUUUUCCUCACUGGUGGUUAUGUAUAAAUGUUUUCAUUAUAAACAAUUUUCGUCCAAUCAUAAAAUCAAAUAUUGCAAGAGACUUUCAAAAAUUUUGAUGUAUGGAUUGUGGGCUUAGGGGCUGAGUUGAAAAGGCCCAAGCUAAGAAAUGAGUUUACUGCAAAUAUUUUGAUUCAACACUGCACUUGACUUGCUAGUGUCCUUGAAUCCAUCACCUCCUUAAUUAUCUCAGUCUUCCAGUCAAUUUGGCCUUUCUCAGCAACCACUCUGAAUUAACUUUGAUAACUCUGAAGAGGUAAAAUCUUGGAAUGAGGAAACAUUGUAGGAAAGUUAUGGGGCUGUGAGCAAGUUUCUUUCCAACAAAAUCAAUUUAUUGAGGGUAAACUAAAGAGCAAGCAAUGAGGGAAGAAACUAAUACUGGUAAUCGGAUACUAUUUUUAUAUAAAAAAGAAGAAAGACUUCAAUGCUUAACAUUCUGACAAAGUCAUAGCAUUGACUUCCCUUUGAUUUGAUUUGAUUUGUACCUUACACUUGCAAAACUUUGCAGCAUUGCAAAGUAAAGUAGUUAUGUACACAAAACUUGAUUAGAAUCUUGAAUCUUGACAGUUUCUGCCAUAGGAACCGUAAAUUUAACAAUAAAUAUACGUAUAUAUGUACAUGUAUACUGUACAUCUAUCAAAAACCAAUAACUCUGGAAGAUGCAUCAGUUUAACAAAUCUGCAAUGAUUGAUAUAAAAAUUUAGACAUUUCCAGCAUGGCAUUCUGUAGAUUGACAUGUAUUGUAUCAUUUUGUACAUAUGAAAUAAAAGGAAUUAUUGUACUGUGUA